GUGUCAGCCGCCGCGGUAAGACGGAGGAUGCAAGUGUUAUCCGGAAUCACUGGGCGUAAAGCGUCUGUAGGUCGUUCAAUAAGUCAACUGUUAAAUCUUGAGGCUCAACUUCAAAAUCGCAGUCGAAACUAUUAAACUAGAGUAUAGUAGGGGUAAAGGGAAUUUCCAGUGGAGCGGUGAAAUGCGUAGAGAUUGGAAAGAACACCAAUGGCGAAAGCACUUUACUGGGCUAUUACUGACACUGAGAGACGAAAGCUAGGGUAGCAAAUGGGAUUAGAAACCCCUGUAGUCC
rnacentral:rRNA from 1 species